CUUAGUAACCUGAUCCCAUCACUUACGCAUUAUAUCCCAUCAGAACUCCGAAGUUAAGCGUGUCGGGGCGAAAUAGUACUAGGAUGGGUGAAUCCCUAGGAAGUCCUCGUGUUGCAUCCU
rfam:Nicotiana attenuata strain TT chromosome 6, whole genome shotgun sequence.